rnacentral:rRNA from 1 species
UUUUCCUACGGGACGCAGCAGUGAGGAAUAUUGGUCAAUGGUCGGGAGACUGAACCAGCCAAGCCGCGUGAGGGAUGAAGGUACAGAGUAUCGUAAACCUCUUUUGUCAGGGAACAAAGGCGGGGACCCGUCCCCGGACGAGUGUACCUGAAGAAAAAGCAUCGGCUAACUCCGUGCCAGCAGCCGCGGUAAUACGGAGGAUGCGUGCGUUAUCCGGAUUUAUUGGGGUUAAAGGGUGCGCAGGCGGUCUGUUAAGUCAGCGGUCAAAGCCCGGGGCUCAACCCCCGCCCG